rnacentral:rRNA from 2 species
AUUGAACGCUGGCGGCAUGCCUUACACAUGCAAGUCGAACGGCAGCACGGACUUCGGUCUGGUGGCGAGUGGCGAACGGGUGAGUAAUGUAUCGGAACGUACCUUUCAGUGGGGGAUAACGUAGCGAAAGUUACGCUAAUACCGCAUAUUCUGUGAGCAGGAAAGCAGGGGAUCGCAAGACCUUGCGCUGAUUGAGCGGCCGAUAUCAGAUUAGCUAGUUGGUGGGGUAAAGGCCUACCAAGGCUACGAUCUGUAGCGGGUCUGAGAGGAUGAUCCGCCACACUGGAACUGAGACACGGUCCAGACUCCUACGGGAGGCAGCAGUGGGGAAUUUUGGACAAUGGGGGCAACCCUGAUCCAGCCAUGCCGCGUGAGUGAAGAAGGCCUUCGGGUUGUAAAGCUCUUUCGGCCGGGAAGAAAUCGCAUAGGCUAAUACCCUGUGUGGAUGACGGUACCGGAAUAAGAAGCACCGGCUAACUACGUG